UCGAGAAUCUUCCGCAAUGGGCGCAAGCCUGACGGAGCGACGCCGCGUGGAGGACGAAGGCCUUCGGGUUGUAAACUCCUGUUACGGGUUAUGAAUGGUGCAUCAAUAACAUUGCUGCAUUUGACGUAAGCUCGAGAGAAAGCACUGGCUAACUCUGUGCCAGCAGCCGCGGUAAUACAGAGAGUGCGAACGUUGUUCGGAAUCACUGGGCAUAAAGCGCACGUAGGCUGUGCCGUAAGUGCGGGGUGAAAUCCCACGGCUUACCCGUGGAACGGCCCUGCAGACUGCGGUGCUAGAGGAUGGUAGGGGAGAGCGGAACUCCUGGUGGAGCGGUGAAAUGCGUAGAGAUCAGGAGGAACACCGGUGGCGAAGGCGGCUCUCUGGUCCAUUUCUGACGCUGAGGUGCGAAAGCUAGGGGAGCAAACGGGAUUAGAUACCCGCGUAGUCC
rnacentral:rRNA from 1 species